rnacentral:rRNA from 1 species
CGCGUGGGUAAUCUGCCCCGGAAUCGGGGAUAACAUUGCGAAAGCGAUGCUAAUACCGGAUAAUGACACGAUGGCUUUGGUCAUUGUGUCCGAAGGUGGCCUCUACAUGUAAGCCACUGUUUUGGGAUGAGCCCGCGUACCAUUAGCUUGUUGGCGGGGUAACGGCCCACCAAGGCGACGAUGGUUAGCUGGUCUGAGAGGGUGAUCAGCCACACCGGAACUGGAACACGGUCCGG